GUGCUUGCUUUGGGUAGCACUUAUACUAAAAUUGGAAUGAAACAGAGAUUAGUGUGGCCUCUCUGCAAGGAUGACGUACACAUUUGUGAAACGGUCCAUAUUUUU
ensembl:snRNA U6 U6 spliceosomal RNA